GGGGGCAUAGCUCAGUGGUAGAGCACAUGCUUUCCAUGCAGAUAGUCUCAUGUUCAGACCCUGGUAUCUCCA